rnacentral:lncRNA from 1 species
CUCUCCUGAUCAAAUUUGAUAAAUAUAAUUCCUUCUAAGGUUUCAGUAGUUCAUCAUGACUUGAUUAUUCAUCUUUUGCAUUUUAAUAGUAACCUGCACCUCUUGACCCUGAAGAUGAUGGCCCAGCAUCAAAUCAACAGGAAGGACACUGAGGUGAUGAUGAUGGAGAUGAGCGUCAGUGUGUGCAAGUGGGAAGAUGUUCAUGCGAGUCUUCUCAAAAAACAGAGCAUCUUUUCAGCCGUCAUCAUUGAAUUGAUCUGGAUGAGAAAGGAAUAACUGAGAGACUUCAGGAAAGGUAUAUGCUCUAUUGAUUAUGUAACUAAGUAUACCGGUUCCCUAAUGAUAACUUUUAAUGUGCAUUGGACAUUCAGAUAGUUGAGACAUUUUAAUAACAAUAUUUCACUUCAUAUGACACAGAGAUUUUACAUUUGUUUAUAUUCUUCUGGGAAAGAUAUUAUUGGAAAAACAGCAAGUGAAACUCUGAAAGCUUUUUCUUUUAACUGUGAGUGAAAUAUUCAUCUUUGUUGUUAUGAAAUCCAAGGAAGUGGCAGAUCCAGGUACAUUUUCUGGAAGCCUGCUUCAAUCUCUCUUUCUAAAACUCAACAUAUUUCUUUCAUGAACAGAGAUCAAAGUGGUAAUGUUCCUUUCCGUCAUGGUUUACUCAUGGAUUCAAAAGAAAACCAAAUUUACAGGCGAACUUUGCAUUUCUGAAAGAGAGUAAAUUAACAUUCCAUUACUUCAACUACAUUCUAAAAGAAUAAAAAUCAGAAAUUCAAGACAGGUAAAAACCAGAUUAGUAGUUGUCUUAAAAGAAUCACUACAAAAAAUCUAACUUUGUAGCUUUGCUUUCAGUAGAUCUUAUCCUAACAUGUUAUUUAUUGGAACAGUCUUUGUAAUUCAUAAAGUAAUUUCUCUAUACAUUUAUACUUCUGCUGAUAAAGGACUAAUAACAAAGUCUCUGUAAGGCCCCCUGUAGUUGUGAUAACCUCAAAUCCUCUUAAAAAUCUAGACACAGUCAUAAGAGAGUUGUCACUUUCUAAUAGAUAUUCAUACUUAUGAGAGCUUCUGACAAGCAUUUUCACCUUUUGUACCUAAAAUUUUAUCUGAUUCACAU